CAGCUCAGCCUAAAUAAAGAAAUAAAUAUUUUUUUUAAACAUCCAAGGUUAUGAAGAUUUGCCCCUGUGUUUUCUCCUAAGAGUUUUAUGGUUUUAACCCUUGUAUUUAGGUUUUGUUUUGUUUUGGCUGCGUCGGGUCUUCGUUUCUGCACACAGUCUUUUUCUAGUUGCAGCAAGUGGGGGCUGCUCUUUGUUGUGAUGCGUGGGUUUCUCAUUGCAGUGGCUUCUCUUGUUGCGGAGCACAGCCUCUAGGUGUGUAGACUUCAGUAGUUGUGGCUCGCGGGCUCUAGAGUUGAGGUGCACAGACUCUAGAGCACAGGCUCAGUAGUUGUGUCACACGGGCUUAGUUACUCCACGGCAUGUGGGAUCUUCCCAGACCAGGGCUCGAAUCCGUGUCCCCUGGGUUGGCAGGCGGAUUCUUAACCAUUGCGCCACCAGGGAAGUCCCUGUAUUUAGGUUUCUAAUCCAUUUUCAGUUAAUUUUUAUAUGUGGCAUAAGGUAAGUGUCCAACUUCAUUCUUUUGCAUGUGCCAUUUGUUGAAGAGACUGUCUCUUCCCCACUGAGUAGUCUGGACACUCUUAUUGACAAUCAGUUCGCUAUAUAUACGGGUUUAUUUCUGGGUUCUCUAUUCUAUUGGUCUGUAUGUCUGUCCUUAUGCCACGCCACACUGUUGCAAUCACUUUCACUUUAUAGGACAUGACCUGGCCUUUUACGUACAUCCCUUCAUCUCUUCCUCACCAAACACUCUGAAGUAGGCAUUAUAUAAUCAUUCUUGCUGGGUAAAGUCAGGCCUAAAAGGUUAGGGUGACUUACCCUCCGUCACAAAAUUGGUGGAUGUAUUAUCCUUUGCAAGGUGACAUUGCAAGUGCUCCCAGGUUGACAGACAUACAAAAACAGUGAAUUCUUGUAUCUUGACCUUAAAAACAACUUCCAUAGUCAGGUGAUGUCUAGCCAGGCCUUCAGCAACUAGGAUCCAAAGCCAGGAUAUUUCAAGAGGAAGAAAGUGAUCCUGAGCAUCUUUGAUCAAGUUAGUGGUUGAAGUCCAAGAGCAUGAUCUCAGAAGCAAUCAGCUGAAGGAGAGGGAAAACCUGGAGAAUGGUGUCAGCCAGGAAUCAGAUGUUUUCAAAAGAGUUUUAAACGCAAAGUAUAGCAGAGCCAUCUUUCCUGCGCAGUCAUAAGCCAUCAUGCUACGAUUGAAAAUGGAACAGACGGGGCUUCCCUGGUGGCGCAGUGGUUAAGAAUCCGCCUGCCGAUGCAGGGGACACGGGUUCGAGCCCUGGUCCGGGAAGAUACCACAUGCCGCGGAGCAACUAAGCCCGUGCGCCACAAAUACUGAGCCCGUGAGCCACAACUACUGAAGCCCGCGUGCCUAGAGCCCGUGCUCCGCCACAAGAGAAGCCACUGCAAUGAGAAGCCCGCGCACCGCAACGAAGAGUAGCCCCCGCUCGCCGCAGCUAGAGAAAGCCUGCGCGCAACAAAGACCUAACGCAGCCAAAAAUAAAUAAAUAAAAUAAAUUUAUUUUGAAAGAAAGAAAAUGGAACAGAAAAUGUAUGCUUCCUUGGCGCCUCCUAUCUUAAGAGAAGGCGUCCACGUUGCUUCAACAGUAUGAGGUGCGGUAAGAAUGUAAAGGUGCAGAAGCAAUCGAUAGCCCCUUGGUGGGGGGGACUCAACAGGGAAAAGCUAGGGAAGCAGCAGAGUUUAUGUCACACGGAGAGAAUCAGAAACAGGAUCACCCUUGCCUCUGCCCAGACCAUGGGAGAGUCCCCUGGGCUGGGGCAGGGAGGAAGAAUGGCGCUGGGGGUGACCUGCAAAGAGGUGGUGCAGCAGAGGUGCAGAGGGGGUUAGCCCCGGGAGCCCGCCCUGCGACCAGUGCCCCUCCCCCACCCCACCCCAAGUGACAGUGUGAAGCGCCUGCCUUUCGGGGGAGGGGUAUAGUACUUUCCCGGGGCCACCAUAACAAAUGACCACUCACUGGGUAUCUUCAAGCAACAAAGAUGUAUUCUCUCACAGUUCUAGAGGCCAGAAGUCUGAGAUCAAGGUGUCGGCAGGGCCGUGGUCUCUCGAGGCUCUAGGGGAGGAUCCUUCCUGGCCUCUUGCAGUUUCUGUUGGUGGCUGGCAUUCCUUGUCGAUCCUGGGCUUGUGCUGAGUAGCUGCAUCGCCCCAGCCUCUGCCUGCCUCAUCACGCGGCCUCUCUGUGAGUUUCUGAAUUUCUCUCUUCUUGCAGGAAUACCAGUCAUUGGAUUUAAGGCCCACCCUAUUCUAGUAUGACCUCAUUAAAAAAAAAAAAAUUUUUUUUAAGGAUUGGGGUGCAGGUGGGGGAAGCAACUAAUAAAAAAAGGAAAAAAAAUUUAAGAUUUUUUUAAAAGAUUUUUUUGAUGUGGACCAUUUUUCAAGACUUUAUUGAAUUUGUUACAACAUUGCUCCUGUUCUAUGUUUUGUUUUUUUUGGCCACGAGGCACGUGGGAUCUAAAAUCCCUGACCAGGGAUCCAACCCACACCCGCUGCAUUGGAAGGCGAAGGCUUAACCA